GCGGGGGUGGCCGAGCCAGGACAAAGGGGCUGGAUUCCGUUAAAAGGCGCCGGACUUAAGAUCCGGUGGCGUAGGCCUGCGUGGGUUCGAAUCCCACCCCCCGCACCA
rnacentral:tRNA from 1 species